GGCCUACCAUGGUGGUAACGGGUAACGGGGUGUUAGGGCACGACACCGGAGAGGGAGCCUGAGAAACGGCUACCACAUCCAAGGAUGGCAGCAGGCGCGCAAAUUACCCAAUCCCGACACGGGGAGGUAGUGACAAUAAAUAACAAUACGGGGUUCUUUCGGAUCUCGUAAUUGGAAUGAGUACAAUUUAAAUCUCUUAACGAGGAACAAUUGGAGGGCAAGUCUGGUGCCAGCAGCCGCGGUAAUUCCAGCUCCAAUAGCGUAUAUUAAAGUUGUUGCAGUUAAAAAGCUCGUAGUUGAACUUCGGGAUCAAUUUAUUGGUCGUGCUAUUGUACGUACUGGUAUUAUUGAUUCCUACCUUCUGACGAACCAUGAUGUCAUUAAUUUGGUGUCAUGGGGAAUCAGGACUGUUACUUUGAAAAAAUUAGAGUGUUUAAAGCAGGCUCACGCUUGAAUACAUUAGCAUGGAAUAACGAAAUAGGACGUUUGAUUCUAUUUUGUUGGUUUCUAGGAUCGACGUAAUGAUUAAUAGGGAUAGUUGGGGGCAUUAGUAUUCAAUUGUCAGAGGUGAAAUUCUUGGAUUUAUUGAAGACUAACUACUGCGAAAGCAUUUGCCAAGGAUGUUUUCAUUAAUCAAGAACGAAAGUUAGGGGAUCGAAGACGAUCAGAUACCGUCGUAGUCUUAACCAUAAACUAUGCCGACUAGGGAUCGGAUGAUGUUAAUUUUUUAAUGACUCAUUCNGCGCCUUACG
rnacentral:rRNA from 1 species